rnacentral:rRNA from 1 species
AGAGUUUGAUCCUGGCUCAGGAUGAACGCUGGCGGCAUGCCUAAGACAUGCAAGUCGAACGAAGUGACCCAUGGAAGAAUGCGUGCUUGCACAAAUUUAGAAAUGGAUUUCCACUUAGUGGCAGACGGGUGAGUAACACGUGGGUAAUCUACCUCAUGGUUUGGGACAACAGUUAGAAAUGACUGCUAAUACCGAAUGAUUCACUUUUAGAUAACUAAGAGUGCUAAAAGGAGCUUUUGCUUCGCCUUGAGAUGAGCUUGCGGUGUAUUAACUAGUUGGUGGGGUAAUGGCUUACCAAGGUAGCGAUGCAUAGCCGAGCGGAGAGGCUGAUCGGCCACACUGGAACUGAGAUACGGUCCAGACUCCUACGGGAGGCAGCAGUUAGGAAUAUUCGUCAAUGGGGGAAACCCUGAACGAGCAAUGCCGCGUGAGUGAUGACGGUCUUUAUGAUUGUAAAACUCUGUUGUAAAGGAAGAAUCACUAUUAUAGGAAAUGAUAAUAGUUUGACGGUACUUUACCAGAAAGCCCCGGCUAACUACGUGCCAGCAGCCGCGGUAAUACGUAGGGGGCGAGCGUUAUCCGGAUUUAUUGGGCGUAAAGAGUUCGUAGGUGGUUUGUUAAGUUUAAGAUUAAAGCCCGAGGCUCAACCUCGGUUCGUCUUAAAAACUGGCAGACUUGAGUGUGGUAGAGGCAAGUGGAAUUUCUAGUGUAGCGGUUAAAUGCGUAGAUAUUAGAAAGGAACACCAGUGGCGAACGCGGCUUGCUGGGCCAUUACUGACGCUGAGGAACGAAAGCGUGGG